rnacentral:rRNA from 1 species
AUUCUGGCUCAGGAUGAACGCUGGCGGCGUGCUUAAUACAUGCAAGUCGAACGAAGCACUUUUGACAGAUCCCCUCGGGGUGAAGAUGAUUGUGACUUAGUGGCGGACGGGUGAGUAACGCGUGGGGAACCUGCCUCGUGCUGGGGGAUAACAGUUAGAAAUGACUGCUAAUACCGCAUAAGCGCACAGUAAGGCAUCUUACAGUGUGAAAAGAUUUAUCGGCAUGAGAUGGACCCGCGUCUGAUUAGGUAGUUGGCGGGGUAACGGCCCACCAAGCCCGCGAUCAGUAGCCGACUUGAGAGAGUGAUCGGCCACAUUGGGACUGAGACACGGCCCAGACUCCUACGGGAGGCAGCAGUAGGGAAUAUUGCACAAUGGGGGAAACCCUGAUGCAAGCGACGCCGCGUGAGUGAUGAAGUAUUUCGGUACGUAAAACUCUAUCAGCAGGGAAGAUAAUGACGGUACCUGACUAAGAAGCCCCGGCUAACUACGUGCCAGCAGCCGC